ACAGAGGUCUCGAGCGUUGUUCGGAUUUACUGGGCGUAAAGGGAGCGUAGGCGGUUCGGUAUGUCGAAUGGGAAAGCACACAACUCAACUGUGGAAAUGCAUUCGAAACUGCCGAGCUAGAGUACUGGAGAGGAGAGCGGAAUUCUUGGUGUAGCGGUGAAAUGCGUAGAUAUCAGGAGGAACACCUGUGGCGAAGGCGUCUCUCUGGACUGAUUCUGACGCUGAGGCGCGAAAGUUAGGGGAGCAAACAG
rnacentral:rRNA from 1 species